AGCUCUAGGAAGUAGGAAGCCAUGGUUGUACCACACGCUCUCCCUUGAUUAGACUAGAGAUAGAUACCUGCCCUAAGGACCUCAAAGCAGAUCAUCCAAGAGGAUGGUUACUCAGAGGAGGAAGGUUGGCUGUGCAGGGCAGUCAUCUACAGCCACACCCUCCAGGCCAUCAUGGCCAUCGUCAAGGCCACAGGCAACCUACAGACUGACUUUGCCAACCCCUUCCAUACGGAUGAUGCCAGGCAACAGUUUGCAAUGUCUUACACAGUUGUGGGCCAGGGUGCACUCCCUGAGGACCUGUCCAGAUGCCACCUGCAAACUGAAGCUGUCCAGCGUCAUCCGGAAUCUCUGGGCUGCCCAUUGGAUUUGCUCCAUGGGAUGCCUGUUUCAUCCUGCUUUGGUUACCCACAGGACACCAGCUCCACAGUUUAGCCGCCUUCCACCUGAACGACCUGGAGCCACAGGACACAGAGUGACCAUGCCCCCACACAGAAGGUGGAGCUGCAGAGCUGCUUAAAGACGCCCUUCACCUCCAGGGACCUACUCUCUUCAAGAUGGCUGAUGUGGCAGUCAGCAGUCUGGGCAGCAGUGGACCCACUGCUUUGAGGGCAUCACAGCCACCAUCUUCUGUGCAGGCUUGAGCAUCUGUGGCCUGAGCUGAGGACAAGCUGAAUCACACACACCAGAACAUGAAGCUGUUUGGCAGCAUCUAUGUCAAGUGGUCAUGGAAACGUCUGUCAUCCUCUUCAUCAAGAAGAAGGACCUAGGUGAGGAGAAGAUCACACGCAGCCCCCACCAUCUGCUUCCACAAGUACACAGGGGUCAGCAAGUCUGACGAGGCUGCCAGCUACAUCAGAGUAAGUGAGAGGGCCUGAAUAGCGCAAGAACACCAGGGAGAUCCAUGCACAAGUCACCUAUGCUGUCACCG
rnacentral:lncRNA from 1 species